UACGGAGGGUCCGAGCGUUAAUCGGAAUUACUGGGCGUAAAGCGCGCGUAGGCGGUUGAUUAAGUUGGAUGUGAAAUCCCCGGGCUCAACCUGGGACCUGCAUACAAAACUGGUCAACUAGAGUACAGCAGAGGAGUGUGGAAUUUCAGGUGUAGCGGUGAAAUGCGUAGAGAUCUGAAGGAACACCAGUGGCGAAGGCGACACUCUGGGCUGAUACUGACGCUGAGGUGCGAAAGCGUGGGUAGCAAAC
rnacentral:rRNA from 1 species